UACGUAGGUGGCAAGCGUUGUCCGGAAUUAUUGGGCGUAAAGCGCGCGCAGGCGGUCCUUUAAGUCUGAUGUGAAAUCACGUGGCUCAACCACGUGCGGUCAUUGGAAACUGGAGGACUUGAGUGCAGAAGAGGAAAGUGGAAUUCCAAGUGUAGCGGUGAAAUGCGUAGAGAUUUGGAGGAACACCAGUGGCGAAGGCGACUUUCUGGUCUGUAACUGACGCUGAGGCGCGAAAGCAUGGGGAGCGAACGGG
rnacentral:rRNA from 1 species